rnacentral:tRNA from 1 species
GGAGGGUAUAGCUCAGUGGUAGAGCUUAUGCUUAGCAUGCACAAGGUCCUGGGUUCAAUUCCCAGUACCUCCA